rnacentral:tRNA from 1 species
ACUUGAAUAGCUUAUAUUUAGAGCAUGAUAUUGAAGAUAUUAAGGAAAUUUUAUGUUUUCAGGUA